rnacentral:sRNA from 1 species
UUUUCGCCUGUACGUGAGAGGAUGAGAAUCUCCGAAGGAGGUUUGAGCCGAACGUAGUGAGACCACGUUGCUUUAGCAACGGCCCGCAGGGCAAGCAUCGAAGAUGCGCAUAAUCCUCUCAUGCCGACCA